rnacentral:rRNA from 1 species
GACGAACGCUGGCGGCGUGCUUAACACAUGCAAGUCGAACGGAAAGGCCCUGCUUUUGUGGGGUGCUCGAGUGGCGAACGGGUGAGUAACACGUGAGUAACCUGCCCUUGACUUUGGGAUAACUUCAGGAAACUGGGGCUAAUACCGGAUAGGAGCUCCUGCUGCAUGGUGUGGGUUGGAAAGUUUCGGCGGUUGGGGAUGGACUCGCGGCUUAUCAGCUUGUUGGUGGGGUAGUGGCUUACCAAGGCUUUGACGGGUCGCCGGCCUGAGAGGGUGACCGGCCACAUUGGGACUGAGAGACGGCCCAGACUCGUACGGGAGGCAGCAGUGGGGAAUAUUGCACAAUGGGCGGAAGCCUGAUGCAGCAACGCCGCGUGCGGGAUGACGGCCUUCGGGUUGUAAACCGCUUUCGCCUGUGACGAAGCGUGAGUGACGGUAAUGGGUAAAGAAGCACCGGCUAACUACGUG